UACGGGGGGAGCAAGCGUUGUUCGGAUUUACUGGGCGUAAAGGGCGCGUAGGCGGCCAGCGCAAGUCAGUUGUGAAAUCUCCGGGCUUAACUCGGAAAGGUCAACUGAUACUGCGCGGCUAGAGUGCAGAAGGGGCAACUGGAAUUCUCGGUGUAGCGGUGAAAUGCGUAGAUAUCUGGAGGAACACCGGUGGCGAAGGCGGCAUCCUGGACCGGUAUUGACGCUGAGGCGCGAAAGCCAGGGGAGCAAACGGG
rnacentral:rRNA from 1 species